rnacentral:rRNA from 1 species
AUAGAGUCAAGUGAAUAAGUGCAUCAGGUGGAUGCCUUGGCGAUGAUAGGCGAAGAAGGACGUGUAAGCCUGCGAAAAGCGUGGGGGAGCUGGCAAUAGAGCUGUGAUCCCGCGAUGUCCGAAUGGGGAAACCCACCAUGUAAAAGCAUGGUAUCCUGCACUGAAUCCAUAGGUGCAGAGAAGCGAACCUGGAGAACUGAACCAUCUAAGUACCCAGAGGAAAAGAAAUCAACCGAGAUUGCGCAAGUAGUGGCGAGCGAACGCGUAAGAGCCUGUAUAUGAUAGUCACUGAGAUAGAAGAACAAGCUGGGAAGCUUGGCCGUAGAGGGUGAAAGCCCCGUAUUCGAAAUUUCAGAGGCGGUACUAAGUAUACGCAAAGUAGGGCGGGACACGCGAAAUCCUGUCUGAAGAUGGGGGGACCAUCCUCCAAGGCUAAAUACUCAUCAUCGACCGAUAGUGAACCAGUACCGUGAGGGAAAGGCGAAAAGAACCCCGGGAGGGGAGUGAAAUAGAACCUGAAACCUGAUGCAUACAAACAGUGGGAGCGGAGAAAUCCGUGACUGCGUACCUUUUGUAUAAUGGGUCAACGACUUACAUUCAGUAGCGAGCUUAACCGAUUAGGGGAGGCGCA